GAAGAAGGACGGGGAAACUGGGGCAGGACACCGAGGUGGGAAAAGCAGACAUUGGGGUGUGGGACGAGGACACCAGGAGAGCGAGGACACUGAGGUGGGGAGUGCGGACUCUGGGGUGGAGGGCGAGGACACUGCACGAGGGAGGUGCGAUCCCACCGCAGGCGAGGCGGGACAGGGACCCUGGGGCAGGGUGGCCGCUGCAGGCGCGCCCUGGGCCUGCCAGGCCUCCUCCAUCCCCUCCCCUCCCCUCCCUCAUCUGGCGCCCAGCCCCCUGCGGGUUGGUGCACCCGCGGGCUGGCCCUCCCGCACGCUCCCGUUGUCGGGGUCCUGCCUCCUGGAAGCCUUCGGGGCGACCCGACUGGGUUCGCUGGUCCGUCGGAGCACACCAACAGGCCUGUGCCAGGUGCUGGUGGAGCGGGAGGUGACUUGACCCCGCCCCGCUGCAGCUUAGAGGAGGGGGGAGUUACCUCACCCCUUGGAGUCUCAGAUUCCCCCACACCUUAAAUUGGGGAGCCGGGCGGGGCGAUGGAAAUAUCUCAGAGGAGUGAGUAAAAUGAGGAAUUCUCAAGGCCUCGCGCCCGCCCAGACAGACCUAAGCAGGACAGGGAAGGGGAGUGACGCUAAGGACCACGGCGCUCCUGAUCUAAACUCCCCACAUAUUAAUCACUUUAGGGAGAGAAAAAAAUUUUUAAAUGAGACAAAAAAAGCAGCCCUCGCCCCCCCCUACAUACACAAAGGAAAUACCAGCCAUCUUUACCGUUGGUUGUUCCUAUAUUUCACUUGGUGGUGCUUAUCUCCUUCUGUUCCCACUUCCCCUUAAACCCCAACUUUUCCAAGACAGGGCAAUUCAAAUGUCCUGGGUUUAGUUCUCACAUCUUGCUUAACAUUAACCCAGAUCCAGGCUGGCUUGCAGAACGACUGUGAAAAUGGAAUUUUGGCUGCAGUUUUCUAACCAUAGAAUGAAACUUUCCUAUUUUAUCAUUUCAGGAGCAGACAUUGUGCUCAAGAAAAUGGAAUGAACAUGAGACUCAAAUCCAUGUCCAUUUGUUUUUAUUAUCAAGAGAACAAGAAAGUGUUCUUGAUUUUUAAAAAAUAUGCUUUCUUAACCAUCCAGAAGUAGGGGACAGGGCCAAAUACAUUAUUUGAUAUCAUUUGGGUGUUCCAAGUCCACAGAUGUGUCUAGUUUGGAAGCUAUUGAUACAAGUUUUCUCUUUAAGAAAAAUAAAUCUCAUCUUGAAACUCUUUAAGCCUGGAAAAAAAUAAUUCAGAGGGAAAGAAAUUUUUCUUGAAUUAAGUUCAACUAAGUUUAAUCAUUUAAAGGAAAACAUGUUUUACUUCUGCCUAAAUGGAGCCUAGUCAUGUGAUUCAUAGUUUAAAUAUAUCCACAGCUCCCUGUGUUCACCUCCCAGGGCAACUGAUGUUUUUCAAGCCUCUUUUGAUUCUAGGCUGGUUUCCCUAGACUUGGCUGGUUAGGUCUACUUCAGUGGGGAUAGUGCCAAAGCCUGUGCUCUUUCCACUCUUGAGAGUACAUUUAAAAUCAGUUACAUUUAUAGACCUGGCUUCUGUCAAAUAGGCUAAAAAUCCAGAUUGGUUUUUAUUACAACAUCCCAUAAUAAGCAAACAACCUAAGCUUUUCCCACAUGACUAAUGCCUCUAAGAUCAUCUGUAGAGAUAAACAAAAAUCUUUGUCCCAGAGAGUUAGAAAAGUUCAAAGACUCUUGGAGAAUGGCAGAUGAGGUCUAAUCCCUCAUACCAGGGAAAGAUCCUGACUUGACAGUGAAAGGUUUCCUUUACACAGUGAUUGAGUAGCAGUUACUGGUGACGGUGGGUGGAAGAUGAAGCCCAGUUUGAGAGCUUCCUGCUUAACUCUUGCAAGAUGAAAACUUUUUCUUUUGAGUGCUGAGAAUGGAACCCAGGGCCUCAUUUAUGCUAAGCAAGAGGUCUAUCUUUACCUCUAAGUUAUACAUCCAGACUAGAAAUUCCUUCCAAUGAACAAAUGAAACAUUGGAAGAAAAUUGCAGUUGAUGAUUACUUGCAGUAGGAGACAUGUCCCUGAACGGGCCAACCUGGAUGGAAGCGCGUUGCUUCCUUAUCGCAGCCUGUAGACCAGGAUUCCUUGUAAUAGGUGGCCAAACCCACCACCUUUCAAAAGUGCUCUUCUUCCAGGACCCUCCGAUCUACUCACCUUUCUCAGAACCUCUACCUGUGUUCCACCACUCAUGACACCUCAUAAGCCAUGUCAGAGGAGAGAUGUGUAGGGGCUGGUUAUUAUGAAUAUGCAGAAAGAUAGUAUAUAUGGGCUAGGGGUGUAGCUCAGUGGUAUAGAACAUAUGCGAGGCCCCUGGUUCAGUCCCCCAACCUCAAAAAGAGCAUUAGUGUUUACAUUUGGCUGACAAAGAGACAGUAUUUGAAACAAGAAAGCCAUGCUUUUCCUUAAAUGCUUAAUUAAUAAGUAAGUUGAGAUAACCCCAGUGCUAUUACUUAGUACUGAUGCCGUUAAGCAACAGUAUCCCACGUAAUUUCUCUUGUCUUUCCAUAGUGUCCAAGGUUUUGCAUUUGGUUUCACCACUGGAAGGGGAAAAAAGGACAAAACCUAGGACCUUGCAAAUGUUAGGCGAGAGCUAAACCCCUGACCCCUACAUAAGGCUCUUCUGCUGGGUUUCUCUAGGCUUGCUAACUUGUUAAAUGGAGCUGAAGUCUGCCGCUCAGAGGGAUUACUGAUUGAUGCUGGGCACCCUGGACAAGCCUCCUGGCUGGCAGGAUCACUGUCCUGGGAUUGCGGCUUCCUUCCACCAAGUGAUUGCCUCCAACCUGCUGACUCCUUCUGCAAGGCUGCCCGGCCCUGCCGGAUCCUCGACAGACCCUGGCUCUUUAACGGAGCCGCACAACAACCCAAGAAGGUGGGCAUUAUCUUCUUCCAGUUCAUGGAGGACAGAAGGAAGUCCCAGAAGAGCAGGAGCUUGCUGAGAUCUGGGCAAGUGCUCCACCACAGAGCCACCCCCAGCCCCUGCCUGAGGUCUCGACGCUAGUCAGUAGACACGGGGCUUGAACUCAAUUCUGAGUGGUCCUCCUGGUCUUCCCAUUAUGCUAGCUGUUAUGGUUUGGACCUGGAGUGUCCCCCCAAGGCUCGUGGUCCCCAGGGCAGCAGUGUUCAGAGGUGGGGCUUUGGAUCAGGAGGACUCUGAGCUUCUCAGUGGACUAACCCAUUGGUCCUCAGCUAAUGGAAUCAGGGGACGGUGAAGCCUAGUUGGAAGAAGUCACCAGAGGUGUGCCCUGGAAGAAUUUACCUUGUCCCUAGCCCCUUCCCUUUCUCUGCUUCCUGACUGUCAUAUCUGAGAGUCUAUACCCUCCCACCAUGAUGUCCCCAAAGUAAUGGACAGACAACCAUGGACUGACACCUCUGGAAUCAUGAGCCAAAAGAGAUCUUUCCAUUAAGCUGUUUGUGUUAGUCAUUUGUGUCCCAGGGAUGAAACGCUGACCAACACACUAGCUAUGCCCAAAUAAAUGGGUAACCUAGCAGAAUAGAU